AAGACCAGUGUAAGUGGAGAGAUGAGUUUGACCCAGGAAGCAAUGCUCAAGCAGCAAUGAAGAAAGUCUCUGUGAGGCUUCUUAGGAGACUGAGCCUGGCUGAGGAAAGAAUCUCUGAUAUGUCAAGAUAAAUUUCAAAACAAAACAAAAAAGCAAAACUGGAGCAGAAUGUCCAAGAGUUACGGUAGCAAGCAUGGUUCAAGAAUCCGUGCUGAACCAUGGCUGAAAAGAACCAUGAUGCUCAGCAUGAAGGAAGGAAAGCAGAAAGGAAGAGGAGGAGGGAGGACGGAGGACGGGAUUGAUGGAUGAGACAGAGGGAGGAAGAGAAGGAGAGAACGAAGAAAGAAGAGAAAGAAACUAGAACAAAAUAUUUAAGUAUUGAGGGGGAAACAAUCACUGACCUGAAUCCACCUGUCACCUCCUUCCACAAGUGUGAAGGAGAACUGAGCAUCUUCGAAUAAAGAGCCGUGGGUCUGCUGACGUGGUUCCCCAGCGCCAGUGCAGCACUGCCAGGGAACAGUGAGGAUGCUGGGAUGCUCCAACGCCUCCCUCAGCCCUGAAGCAGGCUGAUCCAGACUUUGACCUUGCUGCCACUGAGAAGGAGAUUACCUAGGGUUGGAGCCUUCUACCUAGAUGGCUCUUUUGUUCUGUUACCUGCCACUGCUUUCCCCAAGACACUGCUACCUGCUGAGAAGCCCCUGAGACAUUCCUGAGGAACAUCCUAUUCGGCACCCUACAGGCUGGCUCCAGACACCAAUAAUGGACUGGCUGGGGAUGGGCCUUUUCCUUUUAUAAGUAGACUCUCUUAGUAAACUGGUGGGCCUUGAAC
rnacentral:lncRNA from 1 species